GAUGGUGAGGAUCCUGUUCUGAGGGAAGGGGAGCUCUCGAACCCUCGUGUCUUCACAGAGCCCCCAGCAGCAUGAGGGGUUUGGUUCAGCUCCCUCGUCCUGGAGAAGCAGAUAGCCUGAGUUGGGCCCUGCCGGUGGUGGUGGUUGAAUGGCGGCAGCACCAGCAGAGUUCUUGAAGACGGAGAGCGGCCUCGUCGUGUACAUCUCCUCGGCCCUGGUUGUUCCCGGAGAUGAGGUUUGUGGAGGUGAAGAUGGCUCUGAUACUGCUAUUAGUACACCAAGAUCUCUCGCUCUUUCUCCGAUCUUUCACAGUAGACCUUUCAAAUCUUUUCUCUGUUAUGAUCCAUUGAUGACAUCUUCUAAGAAGCUAACCUUUGGUAGAUUAUGACAAUGCCGUGGAGCUGUGAAGAAUAUGUGAAUGAUCAACUCGAUCCAACAAAUCAAUGAGAGAAAGAGUCAGAGAUGCGUGGGCAUAAUAUUUAAUGCUUCUUUUUUGAAAAUAUUGACAAUCUAACCUUACAAUUUGAGUCAUCGUAGCAUAAGAUGAAGAAUGCUUCUCCUCUUCAUCUUCAUAUCAGAGAGGUUCCAUCUGCAUCUUCGUGGAGAUGGUACCCAAACAAUCAACCGUAAGACGCCUUCAAAGAAAGAAAUCGGUUCACCAAUCAUUAAAGCAACAUGGAGAGCUUCCUUACAACUGCUAAAAGAAGAAAUAGUAAAAGGUCAGCUUCUUUUGCUUGCGAGGUCAUCGUUAUACGGUCCGAGAGAGAGGGAGAGACAGAGAGAGAGAAGCCUAGACAAAACCAAAGAGAUGAUGAUAAGGUUCGAAAAGUCCGCGUACUUGAUAUGAGGUGAUGGCAGUCACUGGCAGCGCCAUGCAUUCAACAACAUACCGGAGGAUGCGCUCAUCUCUCUCCGUGUGAUCGGAGCGUUGACCAGCUUCCCUCCGAGUUGCGUCUGAGAAGCUGCGGAGAUCACAGAACCUGCACCAAACUAAUGGUAGAAGAUAAGCCACCACAUUAAAGACCUGCUUGUUUGCAGUUCCAGCAGUCUCUCAUCUUCACAUGGAGCUCAUAGUGCCGGAGUCACGAUCGACAAGUCUUAGCAUCCUAAAAUCCGAAACAUGACAGAUGAAAUAAUAUUCAACAAUGUUCAAUGUAAAGCAGUAUCGAACCUCGCUUGGAUAUACCGUAAAAUGAUGAAAUAAUAUUCAACAAUGUUCAAUGUAAAGAAUUGUUGCUGCAACGAAAAAUCCAACAACUAAUUUGUCAAAGAGGUUACCACAAGAAAGUAAAGAAAGCUCAUGAAAUUGAUGAGGCAGAUAAUAGAGAACUCUAUUUCCUCAUAUUUCUUGAGGAUGCCAGCUAUAUAUUUUGAGCAACUAAAAUCCUCAUCUAAAAGAAUUAUUUUUGAAGUAAUAAGAACUAAUUUAUUGACAUACUUUUCUAUUUUGGAAGAGAAAUACAAACCCUUCCUGCAUCAUUGGUCCAGCCACACAGGAAAAACAUCAAAAACACACAACACCUCUGCUAGCAUAACCUUACUGUAAUCUCCAAAAGAACACUCAUCCAUUUGUUAAUAAACUAAAGGAAUCCUCAUACUUUCAAUCAAAUGUCCCAAAUAACAAUGAACAAAUAAUAGAUUUCACAGAUAUAACAACAUGAAAACAAAUAAAGAGAAGUUGAAAUUGUUUGUAUGUAGGGAUUACUCUUUCUUUUUUUAUUCUUUAUUUGAUUAUAAAAUCUAAAACAAUGAUUGAUGCCUUUUUUUUUUUCUUUCCACAAGUUACUGCUCUAAAGUUCUGAAGCUAGACUUUUUUUUUUUUGUAAGAAUACAACCUUUUGAUAUUUAGAAACUUAAAGAUGCAAUAAUAAGGAAUCCUAGACACUGGAUCACCUCUCUGAAGUUGUUAAGCUAAAUCUUUUCUAUAAAAAAGCAACCUUUUGAGAUUUAACUGAAAGAUACAAUAAUGAGGAUUCCUACAAUGAAGACAUUGCAUCACCUACAAAUUAUUAUUAUUAUUAUUAUUAUUAUUAUUAUUAUUAUUAUUGUGAUAAAUUAUCAAGAUCUUUAUUGAAAAAAAAGGAGAUAAUCUUAUAAAAUUAACACUAUGACCCAUUAUAUAGAUUAAAUAAAUAAAAAAGAUUAACACAAUUGUAUGAGCAACUCAAAAUUCGACAUGAUUUACAUGUAAAAAAGUAACCUUCUAAGAAAUUGUGAUGUGGUGUACUGUACAGUCUUUACAUGUAUUAGCAGAACAAGCAUAGGAAGUCUUUAUCUUAAAAAAUAGAAAAGUAGUUAGAUAUGUUCUCUUUUGUUCCCCCGUGCGAAAACAAGUUCAGUCAUUCUCAAGAAGCCAAAAUGUUUUUUUGUCUCUCAUAGAUUAUAUUAUCCAUCACACUCUCAUUUAAAGUGGUUCAGGGACAGUAGUUCAGAAACACAUCCACAACACAACCUAUUAAUUCUCUUACUUGAGAGGUAUAUUGACUAAUCAUUUAUCUCGAAAUUGAAGAUUAUUUUGUGUGUAAAAAGUCAUUAAUUCACGAAGCAUUCAGUCGAACACUUUGAGCUCAUAUCGGGAGACAUGUACUUUCUGCUGAUCCGAAAGUCACCUGUCACAUAUUAGAACCCUACAGUUCCAGUAAUGCUACAACAUAAGUGUUGAUUUCACAUGGAUUUGAUCGCGGGAAAGAACAAGAACGCACCACCAAGAUUCAAGCCAUUCGAAAUCAAGAAAGCUAAAAAGGCAAGAACACCACACCACCACCUCUUCUCUGCGAUAUAAGAUGCACGAACACAUAAUCUUGAGAAAGGCAAGGAACAUAGGGAGGCAAAGAAAGGGACGGACCUGCCUAGUUCUUCUCGGUGAGACCGGACACGAUCCACCGCCGUCGUGUUCGCAUUGGCCCCUCCCUGGUGACCGAUCUGACCGCGAUCGCGGAUAAGCCGCACGUCACUUCAGUUUGGGGCACCCUAAUCCCCGGAGAGUACCCACGCCUCGGAGCCCACAAAGCCCUCCCAUUCUCCCACAUCCAAAUGUGGCUUGGAGCCAACGUCACCCUCCCUCAUCGACGCUCCAUCGCCCCAAAUCACUUUGGUCAUUCUCCUCGAUGUAAACGCAUUCUUGGAAGACGAUAGCUUUAAGCAUUGAGCUGCUCUGCACAUGGAUCUCACGUGAUACCUUUUAUUCUAUUUGAAUCAGAUGCUAAUAGACUCAUGUUCACGAUUUGAAUUGGUUCAUUUCGAUUGGACCCGGUUCAGAUCGACCGGUUGGAUCCAAUCUGAUGGCUAUGAUUCUAUCAGAUUCUACUGAUGUAGUGAUGAGAAAUCUUUCUUUAUCCAUUAUUUUCAUUGUAUUACUCCGCCAAAUACAACUCAAUUUCAUGGGUGAACUUAUGAGCUCGGCCAUGGAGUCAAUUUUGACCAGUCAAUGCUUAAACAUACCAAUCAUCUCCAUCGAUAUAUGCAUUGCUUUAACAAAUCAGGAUUAGAAAAAGAACAUUAUUAUAUGAUGUAAGCACAUUGACUCGCCCGUAAAGGUUUCAUCGAGAAGUACUCGGCCAUUCAUAUUGCCCGAGAGAAGAAGCAGCAGCCACCAUUUUCGUGUGAUCAUCACACUAUAAGAGGUCUAGUGUCUCUACAUCAGGUUCAAGCAGCCCUGUGAUACCAAACACACUGCAAGUCCAAGCAGACCUGGAAGCGAUCAAAUCUUCAUUGCUCAAAGAAAGUGCUACUGCUUCUGCACAACCAUAUGAUCUUUCAGUGUUAGCUGAUACCGAUUUGUCAAACUACCCUGCGGAGGUUCCUGCAGUUGAUGACUCCGACAAACCAUAAUGUUAAUUGAUUUUAGUAGGUAGCGGAAGCGAAGCUACGAGGUCUUGAACUGCACUCCACCGGCUGUUCUUUGCUGCUGUGUUUGCAAAACUGGGAAGCCUACAGUUUCCCGUUGCUUCAGUGAAAGGUAAAUACUACUAUACCUUCAAUGAUUUUGCUUCUCGCUUGAAUGCUAGUCAGGAUUGUGAGCAUGUUUGUACAUUUUCUUUUAGUGUCAUUUAAUGGAAUACCUGCAAUGAUUUAUUUGUUGGUUGAAUGCUGGUGAGGAUUGUGAAUGCUGACAUGUGUGAUCGUUUUCUACCAUUGUCACUUGUUGUCAAGACUAAAUGAUGGUGCCUGUCGAUCGAGUUACCCCAUUCUUGCUGCUUCAUGUGACUGUUUUCCUAGCAUUACUAAUAGCCAGGAUCGAAAUAGCGUGUAUAUUUCUUGCCAAGAGAGCAUUUACUCGAACAUACAUGUGAUCUAACACCUCGAGUUGUAACACCUAAUGUCCGGUGUGGAGCAGUAAUAAACAUUUUUGUCUGUAUGUAUAUGUUCAUGUCUUUUAUUUUUAAUAUAAUACUUGUAUAUGUCCGUAUGUUUUAUUUUUAUUCAUAUUUUGGGCUACAUUAGGCUUAAUAGUCUCCAUUUAGUUGACUUUUGUGGUCAUUUCAGGUUUGUAAACAUAAGUUAUGUAUAGUCAUUACGUAGAGGCAAAAUUGUCCAGAAAUAAGUCAUCCAAAUAAUUAUUUUAAGGGUUUUCUAGCUCUACAGAGUGGUACGGAAUGUCAGCUAGUAUAACACCUAGGAGCUACCCAGGUGGCACAUGGCUAGAUGGGUAUUUGGAGUGGUGUCUAGGGCUGGAUUACCACAUUAUUCUAUGGUAGUGUCAUGUAGUCAUUUGCAGGGACUUUCGACUAUAGUGAACCACCUCAGACUAUUUCUCAUGUAAUCAUUCAGACCCUUCAAAGUCUAUGUUUAUAAUUUGCAUUACCUAUCAAGUAUUUGUUGAAAUUGCUACUUAUGGAUUCUAAGUUAAACGCUUUUUCUAACCCGUCUUUUUUGCAUAUCACAAGAGGUUUCGGGAAGGUUGACCCUUUAGGGAUGGAUACGCAAAAGUGCCGCACAACUUAGGGAUAGCUACCUAAGUCCAUGACAAAUUAUAUUAUAGUGGAAUAGGCACACUUAAAAAUACUUGGUAUAAAAAUGUGAGAGACCUAGCUAGGUGGCGUUGAGGGCAGCCAACACACAUAACCAUUUGCGAGAAACGGGUGUUGAGAUGUAGGGAAAGGAGUUGCUUAGAAGAGCAAGUAUCUGAAAUUGACAUUCAAAGGAAUAGCUAACCCUUUGCCCGAGAGGCUUCACGAGGACAAUCGAGCUGGAAAGAACAUAACAUACAAAAGUUGGGAUGGUUGAAUUCGAGCUACGACUCGACAUGGUAACCAAACUUAAUGGUACUUAAGGUAAGUGAGGUGUUUAGCAAAGGAUGAGAUCGUGAAAGGUGAGGUGAGUUGCUCAACGAUCGAAAGAGUUAUGCAAAACUCACAGAGGUGAGGGGAAUUGUUAAUUCAAAAAAUUCGGUAUCCAUGCAAAGGCUUGUAUGUACACAAUGGGCUGUCUAUAACCAUCCCAAGGCAAUUAAAACUUUGACGCUACGGAACAUUAAAACUUUUCCUUCAACAUGGGGAGGAUACAUCUAGAGAAAGCUAAAAUGUGUAGCAAGUUCAAUAUAUUACUAGGCCUUGAGGAGAAUAACAGGGGUUGCAUUGACGAAGAGUCAUAAUCUAGUAAGUUUGUUUAUAGGGAUAGAAUAGUGCAUAGUUUGUUUAGCAUGGCUGAGUAGUUUAAGAGGAUAGUGGUCUCCAAAACUUUUGGAGGGAAAGAUGCGAAAAAUUACUCCAAUAAGAGAGAUAUCCAAGAGGGAUAAGUCUCGAUUUGUCAGAUGGAGAAUCAUAUAUAACAAACUAUACAGAGGAGGGGUACCUCAAGACAAUAACUCUACAAAGCUCAACAAACUGAGUGAACGACGAGGAGUCAUCACAUGAUCUCACACGUAAUGUGUUAAGGAACGCAUUGCACGAUCAAGUGGGGGAGUGAUCCAAGAUAACAACAAACGAAGACACUUAGAAUCGAUAUGAAAAUCAGACUCAACAGUGUGUUGACCCGUGGAAUAAUGGGUGUGAAGGUCAUACUCAACUCAAUAUAAAAUGAGGAGUAGAGAUGAAGGGCAUAAAGUUUAUCCAAGAAAGAUUCAAAAUGCAAUAGGGAUUCACGGGAAAGAGACAUAGUGCAAUGGACCAUGAUAGAAUAAUUUGAGACAAUGCAACAUAUGAAAAUUUUUUUUACCUUCUUAACUCAUAAAGAGAAUGAACAAAAUAGAAUAUCCCGUAUCUCUUAAUUAUCUAACAAAAAGUUCAAAAAUAAUAUGAAAAAGGUACAAAUGGCAAGCCUGAAGUAAGAGUUCGGCGACCAUCAGAACGCCGGCAACGCCGUCAUUCCCACUUGGUUUGAAUCGUACCCGUGUGCUUGAAGUCAACUAUCAAGGCCGAGCUUCCAUCCAUCCUCCUCACCACAAACCUCUCCACCAACACGUAGCACCCAAAUUUCUUCCACGGGCUCACCCCUCCGUACUCCUCCGACCUCUCCACCUUCACUUCACCGCCGACCCACCCUCCCCUCCCCUGCUCCCACCUCAUUCUCUCCCAUACCGGGGAGCUCAGCCCCACCCUCUCUCCCUCCAAAUCAAGCGGCUUGUACCACACCACGCCGUCCUGUCCACCUGCGCCGUCUCGCGUCGCCUCCACGCCACCCAACACCGCGCCCUCCGCCCCAACAGUAGCCUUCACUUCCACGGUCCUCCGAUCGCCAUACAAGUUCUCGCACGCGAACACCUGUUCCCAGCGCUGCUCGAGGGUGAUAUCGUAGAAAGCCGAGCGCUCCAUUUGACGCCGCAGGCUAUCUCCUUCCUUCACGAACACGCAGGGGGCGUACCACCUCCCCACGACCAAACCGGCACCACCUGCGCCAGAUAUCGGCAACUCCAACGCGGGCGUGCGGGCACGAAGGGCUUUGUCAAGCCCCCAGGCGUCGGUCAAGUCGAAGUCCGUGGGCUUCGAAGCAUAAAGCUCCCAGUACUUACUCCUCAGUGGCCAUGGAGCGAACCCAUCCGGAGCUACGGACUGCGCGGUGAACCUGCCUCUCUUGCAGACGAUCUCCACCUGCUGGUAGAUGUCCCUGUGAUCGAACUCUCUCGGCUUGACAUCGUUGACGCUCCGGCAGAAGCAGCAUGUGGUCAUGUCUUCCUCCAGGGAGCAUGUAUACGCUUUCCUGCACAUACAGUCGAAAUCCACCCGACAUUGUUGUGAGAAAACUACGGGAGGGAGGGAAGGAGAUCGAGAGAGGUGCGCCACCCUUUCUUUUUGCCCUUUGCGACGAUGACGUAGUAGUGAUUGGAGGAGAGCGAUUUGUCGAGGACGGGGAUGAACAGGGCCGGCAACUGCCAUGUGUGAGUGCCCUCCGUGUAGGUGAUGGUGAGGAUCCUGUUCUGGGGGAAGGGGAGCUCUCGAACCCUCGUGUCUUCACAGAGCCCCCAGCAGCAUGAGGGGUUUGGUUCAGCUCCCUCGUCCUGGAGAAGCAGAUAGCCUGAGUUGGGCCCUGCCGGUGGUGGUGGUUGAAUGGCGGCAGCACCAGCAGAGUUCUUGAAGACGGAGAGCGGCCUCGUCGUGUACAUCUCCUCGGCCCUGGUUGUUCCCGGAGAUGAGGUUUGUGGAGGUGAAGAUGGCUCUGGUACUGCUACUAAUACACCAAGAUCUCGCGUUUUUUCUCCGAUAUUUCACAGCAGAUCUUUCAAAUCUUUCGUCUGUUGUGGAAAUAUCUGGCUGUGGCUUGUUGGUCAAGAUGUCGUCCAUUGAUGAAAUCUU
rnacentral:lncRNA from 1 species